CCUACGGGAGGCAGCAGUGAGGAAUAUUGGUCAAUGGGCGCGAGCCUGAACCAGCCACGUAGCGUGAAGGAUGACUGCCCUACGGGCUGUAAACUUCUUUUAUAAAGGAAUAAAGUGAGGCACGUGUGCCUUUUCGUUUGUACUUUAUGUAUAAGGAUCGGCUAACCACGCGCCAGCAGCCGCGGUAAUACGGAGGAUCCGUGGGUUACGCGGAUUUAUUGGGUUUAAAGGGAGCGGAGAUGGGUUGUUAAGUCAGUUGUGAAAGUUUGCGGCUCAACCGGAAAAUUGCAAUUGAUACUGGCAGUCUUGAGGACAGAUGAGGUGAGCGGAAUUCGUGGUGUAGCGGUGAAAUGCGUAGAUAUCACGAAGAACUCCGAUUGCGAAGGCAGCUUACUAAACUGCCACUGACAUUGAUGCUCGAAAGUGUGGGUAUCAAACAGGAUUAGAUACCCCAGUAGUC
rnacentral:rRNA from 1 species